rnacentral:rRNA from 1 species
UACGUAGGGAGCUAGCGUUGUUCGGAAUUACUGGGCGUAAAGCGCACGUAGGCGGCUAUUUAAGUCAGAGGUGAAAUCCCGGGGCUCAACCCCGGAACUGCCUUUGAAACUGCAUAGCUAGAAUCUUGGAGAGGCGAGUGGAAUUCCGAGUGUAGAGGUGAAAUUCGUAGAUAUUAGGAAGAACACCAGUGGCGAAGGCGGCUCACUGGUCCGGUACUGACGCUGAGGUGCGAAAGCGUGGGGAGCAAACAGG